UGCGUAGGCGGGGCAAUUAGUCAGUGGUGAAAUCCUGCGGCUUAACCGUAGAACUGCCAUUGAUACUGUUGUCCUUGAGUAUAGUUGAGGUGGGCGGAAUGUGUAAUGUAGAGGUGAAAUGCAUAGAGAUUACACAGAACACCAAUUGCGAAGGCAGCUCACUAAGCUAUAACUGACGCUGAGGCACGAAAGCGUGGGGAGCGAACAGGAUUAGAUACCCUGGUAGUCC
rnacentral:rRNA from 1 species